rnacentral:rRNA from 1 species
GAUGAACGCUGGCGGCGUGCCUAACACAUGCAAGUCGAGCGAUUCUCUUCGGAGAAGAGCGGCGGACGGGUGAGUAACGCGUGGGUAACCUGCCCUGUACACACGGAUAACAUACCGAAAGGUAUGCUAAUACGAGAUAAUAUGCUUUUAUCGCAUGGUAGAAGUAUCAAAGCUUUUGCGGUACAGGAUGGACCCGCGUCUGAUCAGCUAGUUGGUAAGGUAACGGCUUACCAAGGCGACGAUCAGUAGCCGACCUGAGAGGGUGAUCGGCCACAUUGGAACUGAGACACGGUCCAAACUCCUACGGGAGGCAGCAGUGGGGAAUAUUGCACAAUGGGCGAAAGCCUGAUGCAGCAACGCCGCGUGAGCGAUGAAGGCCUUCGGGUCGUAAAGCUCUGUCCUCAAGGAAGAUAAUGACGGUACUUGAGGAGGAAG